ACUGGGGGUAACAUUGCGAUUAAUUGAUCAGUUUGGAAGUCUAGUAACUGCGCGCCAUGACCAUCGUAAAUCUUAAAGCCAUUAUCGGUUUUAGGAUUAUGACUAGCAGUGACAUUCACCCCACCAUCAAAGUGGUACUUCUUAAUCACAUAAGAUACUAAUGGUGUUGGUGUUGGUUCAUUGUUAUCAAACAUAUAGACCACAUGACCCAUAGAGGUAAUCACAUCACACACAAUGCCAUUAAACAAUGCCCCGUGUUUUCUAGUGUCUCUGGCUACUAAAAAGCGUAAUGGUUUUUUAGUUGGGUUUAACGACUGGAUGUAGUUGACAUAACCCUGGGUUAAGUAAGCAUAGGAAAACACAUUCAUCCCAUGGUACCCCGGUGCCAUUUUGCCCCGUACCCCAGCAGUGCCAAAACUCGGUUUCUUUA
rnacentral:sRNA from 1 species